rnacentral:rRNA from 40 species
CCUGCCCAGCAGAGAGACCCGCGAAC